rnacentral:rRNA from 1 species
CCUACGGGCUGCAGCAGUGGGGAAUAUUGGACAAUGGGCGAAAGCCUGAUCCAGCCAUGCCGCGUGUGUGAAGAAGGCCUUCGGGUUGUAAAGCACUUUCAGUGGGGAAGAAAGCCUUGGGGCUAAUACCCUCGAGGAAGGACAUCACCCACAGAAUAAGCACCGGCUAACUCCGUGCCAGCAGCCGCGGUAAUACGGAGGGUGCGAGCGUUAAUCGGAAUUACUGGGCGUAAAGCGCGCGUAGGCGGUCUGAUAAGCCGGUUGUGAAAGCCCCGGGCUCAACCUGGGAACGGCAUCCGGAACUGUCAGGCUAGAGUGCAGGAGAGGAAGGUAGAAUUCCCGGUGUAGCGGUGAAAUGCGUAGAGAUCGGGAGGAAUACCAGUGGCGAAGGCGGCCUUCUGGACUGACACUGACGCUGAGGUGCGAAAGCGUGGGUAGCAAACAGGAUUAGAUACCCGAGUAGUC